rnacentral:rRNA from 1 species
AGAGCGAACGCUGGCGGCAGGCUUAACACAUGCAAGUCGAACGGACCCUUCGGGGUUAGUGGCGGACGGGUGAGUAACACGUGGGAACGUGCCUUUUGGUUCGGAACAACACAGGGAAACUUGUGCUAAUACCGGAUGUGCCCUUCGGGGGAAAGAUUUAUCGCCAUUAGAGCGGCCCGCGUCUGAUUAGCUAGUUGGUGGGGUAAAGCCUACCAAGGCUACGAUCAGUAGCUGGUCUGAGAGGAUGACCAGCCACAUUGGGACUGAGACACGGCCCAAACUCCUACGGGAGGCAGCAGUGGGGAAUCUUGCGCAAUGGGCGAAAGCCUGACGCAGCCAUGCCGCGUGAAUGAUGAAGGUCUUAGGAUUGUAAAAUUCUUUCACGGGGACGAUAAUGACGGUACCCGGAGAAGAAGCCCGGCUAACUUCGUGCCAGCAGCCGC